rnacentral:lncRNA from 1 species
GUCGGCAGUCUACCUUGGGGUAUACCCACGGUAGUAGUUUAUCGGUAGACGGUGCGCAAACUACGAACUCGAUGGUGACGCAAGACACGAACAAGCUUUUUAUCCAGGUUCGGCCGCCGAGUUGGCGUAAUACCUACGUCCUGCGUCUGGUUGUAUUGAAUUGUGUUGAGAGAAUAUGAUGUGAUGUGUCCUCUAGGGGACCCCUGCCCCUCCUUAUAUAUCGUGAAGGGACAGAGUUACAAGCAAAGUAUCCUAUUUGGUACAAUAUCUUGUAGUCUUGCGGUGCACGCCGACCAGUCGCGCGCCGCACGUCUUCAUCCUGUGGGCCGAGCCACCUCUGAUGGUGCGGCCCAUAUAGGCCCAUGAGGGUAUAGGGGUUUAUACCCCCACAACACCCACCGACUAAGGGUCUGUUUGGCACAGCUCAACUUCAUUAGUAAAGUUAUUUUUUUAGAAAAUAGCUUUAUGAGUGACUUUCUAGAUGAAGCUGAUCUGUUUUGGAGAAAGUGUUUGGCAAAAUAGCUUCACCAACUACUUCAUGCAUAGUUGAGAGAGAGAAAUGAGGGAGAAGCUGCAAUAAACUACUUUUUUUCUAGCUUCAUCCCAACUUAUGUCUUUGUGAGAGGAGGGAAAAAACAGCUUCACCCAUGAAACUAUUUUAAAAAUAAAUGUUUGGCAAAAAAAAAAAAACAGCUCACAACAGCUCAUGAAGCUGUUGUAAGCUAUACCAAAAAGCCCUAAGUCCCAUGUUGAAUCGCUUUUCUUUUCCUACCACGGUUGGUGUGGUUGUUUGGUACUGACACUGCGUGGAGUCAGAACCAUGAUAA